UUUUUUUUUUUUUUUUUUNUUUUUUUUUUUUUUAUUUUUUUUUUUUCGUGACGCGGCGGCAGGCCUAACACUUGCAAGUCGAGCGGCAGCACGGGGAGCUUGCUCCCUGGUGGCGAGCGGCGGACGGGUGAGUAAUGCAUAGGAAUCUGCCCGGUAGUGGGGGAUAACGUGGGGAAACCCACGCUAAUACCGCAUACGUCCUACGGGAGAAAGCGGAGGAUCUUCGGACUUCGCGCUAUCGGAUGAGCCUAUGUCGGAUUAGCUAGUUGGUAAGGUAACGGCUUACCAAGGCGACGAUCCGUAGCUGGUCUGAGAGGAUGAUUCAGCCACACUGGGACUGAGACACGGCCCAGACUUCCUUACGGGAGGCAGCAGUGGGGAAUAUUGGACAAUGGGCGAAAGCCUGAUCCAGCCAUGCCGCGUGUGUGAAGAAGGCUUUCGGGUUGUAAAGCACUUUCAGCGAGGAAGAAAGCCUCUGGGUUAAUACCCCAGAGGAAGGACAUCACUCGCAGAAGAAGCACCGGCUAACUCCGUGCCAGCAGCCGCGGUAAUACGGAGGGUGCGAGCGUUAAUCGGAAUUACUGGGCGUAAAGCGCGCGUAGGUGGCUUGGCACGCCGGUUGUGAAAGCCCCGGGCUCAACCUGGGAACGGCAUCCGGAACGGCCAGGCUAGAGUGCAGGAGAGGAAGGUAGAAUUCCCGGUGUAGCGGUGAAAUGCGUAGAGAUCGGGAGGAAUACCAGUGGCGAAGGCGGCCUUCUGGCCUGACACUGACACUGAGGUGCGAAAGCGUGGGUAGCAAACAGGAUUAGAUACCCUGGUAGUCCACGCCGUAAACGAUGUCGACUAGCCGUUGGGACCUUUAAGGACUUAGUGGCGCAGUUAACGCGAUAAGUCGACCGCCUGGGGAGUACGGCCGCAAGGUUAAAACUCAAAUGAAUUGACGGGGGCCCGCACAAGCGGUGGAGCAUGUGGUUUAAUUCGAUGCAACGCGAAGAACCUUACCUACCCUUGACAUCCAGAGAAGUUGGCAGAGAUGCCUUGGUGCCUUCGGGAACUCUGAGACAGGUGCUGCAUGGCUGUCGUCACCUCGUGUUGGGAAUGUUGGGUUAGUCCCAUCCACCCCACAAAAAAAAAAAAAAAAAAAAAAA
rnacentral:rRNA from 1 species